GUAAAAGUCGUAACAAGGUCUCCGUUGGUGAACCAGCGGAGGGAUCAUUACCGAGUUUACAACUCCCAAACCCCUGUGAACAUACCUUAAUGUUGCCUCGGCGGAUCAGCCCGCGCCCCGUAAAACGGGACGGCCCGCCAGAGGACCCAAACUCUAAUGUUUCUUAUUGUAACUUCUGAGUAAAACAAACAAAUAAAUCAAAACUUUCAACAACGGAUCUCUUGGUUCUGGCAUCGAUGAAGAACGCAGCAAAAUGCGAUAAGUAAUGUGAAUUGCAGAAUUCAGUGAAUCAUCGAAUCUUUGAACGCACAUUGCGCCCGCUGGUAUUCCGGCGGGCAUGCCUGUUCGAGCGUCAUUUCAACCCUCAAGCCCCCGGGUUUGGUGUUGGGGAUCGGCUCUGCCCUUCUGGGCGGUGCCGCCCCCGAAAUACAUUGGCGGUCUCGCUGCAGCCUCCAUUGCGUAGUAGCUAACACCUCGCAACUGGAACGCGGCGCGGCCAUGCCGUAAAACCCCAACUUCUGAAUGUUGACCUCGGAUCAGGUAGGAAUACCCGCUGAACUU
rnacentral:rRNA from 1 species